rnacentral:rRNA from 1 species
UUGAUCCCAUGGCUCAGAUUGAACGCUGGCGGCAGGCCUAACACAUGCAAGUCGAGCGGCAGCACGGGUACUUGUACCUGGUGGCGAGCGGCGGACGGGUGAGUAAUGCCUAGGAAUCUGCCUGGUAGUGGGGGAUAACGCUCGGAAACGGACGCUAAUACCGCAUACGUCCUACGGGAGAAAGCAGGGGACCUUCGGGCCUUGCGCUAUCAGAUGAGCCUAGGUCGGAUUAGCUAGUUGGUGAGGUAAUGGCUCACCAAGGCGACGAUCCGUAACUGGUCUGAGAGGAUGAUCAGUCACACUGGAACUGAGACACGGUCCAGACUCCUACGGGAGGCAGCAGUGGGGAAUAUUGGACAAUGGGCGAAAGCCUGAUCCAGCCAUGCCGCGUGUGUGAAGAAGGUCUUCGGAUUGUAAAGCACUUUAAGUUGGGAGGAAGGGCAUUUACCUAAUACGUAAGUGUUUUGACGUUACCGACAGAAUAAGCACCGGCUAACU